CGCGGCGCAUUAGCUAGUUGGUGAGGUAACGGCUCACCAAGGCGACGAUGCGUAGCCGACCUGAGAGGGUGAUCGGCCACAUUGGAACUGAGACACGGUCCAGACUCCUACGGGAGGCAGCAGUGGGGAAUAUUGCACAAUGGGCGAAAGCCUGAUGCAGCAACGCCGCGUGAGUGAUGAAGGCCUUCGGGUCGUAAAGCUCUUUGAUCAGGGAUGAUAAUGACAGUACCUGAAAAACAAGCCACGGCUAACUACGUGCCAGCAGCCGCGGUAAUACGUAGGUGGCGAGCGUUGUCCGGAAUUACUGGGCGUAAAGGAUGCGUAGGUGGAUACUUAAGUGGGAUGUGAAAUCCCCGGGCUCAACCCGGGAACUGCAUUCCAAACUGGGUAUCUAGAGUGCAGGAGAGGAAAGCGGAAUUCCUAGUGUAGCGGUGAAAUGCGUAGAUAUUAGGAGGAACACCAGUGGCGAAGGCGGCUUUCUGGACUGUAACAGACACUGAGGCAUGAAAGCGUGGGUAGCAAACAGGAUUAGAUACCCUGGUAGUCCACGCCGUAAACGAUGGGUACUAGGUGUAGGAGGUAUCGACCCCUUCUGUGCCGUCGUUAACACAAUAAGUACCCCGCCUGGGGAGUACGGUCGCAAGACUAAAACUCAAAGGAAUUGACGGGGGCCCGCACAAGCAGCGGAGCAUGUGGUUUAAUUCGAAGCAACGCGAAGAACCUUACCUAGACUUGACAUCUCCUGAAUUACCCUUAACCGGGGAAGCCCUUCGGGGCAGAAGACAGUGGUGCAUGGUUGUCGUCAG
rnacentral:rRNA from 1 species